AAUAUGGUGAAAAAUGAUUUAGAUUAAAUAGCAAAUGAUCCACUGUUUUUCCUUCUUUGUCAGCCCUUCACAUAACAUUGUGGACAUUUUCUCCUAGAUUUGUUCUUGCAAAGGAAAUAAAAGUUUCCACUCCCAAAGUGAAUUCUCUUAGAUCAGCAGAAAGUUUACCACGUGUUCUAGACUACCAAGGCAUCUAUCAUGGGCCACUUCCCAAGUCUGAAUUUCCUGAGUUCACAACAUAAAAUCAGCAAGCACAUGGGGAUGUGAAGCCACCAGUGGAGCAUCUGGUACAGCAGAGAGAAGCAGAUCAAGAGAAUACAAAGCAAUACCUACAGAAAGGAAGAUGUUGUAAAUAUAAUAUUCAAGAAGUAGUUUUCAUAGAAGGUGAGAAGAUAUUUUGGAAAUAUACUAAUUAUUGCUUGAAGUAGAAAGUUGGAGACCAGAGAAGAACUACCAAGUCUCACAGCCACAUUCAUAGUGUAUGGCAACAUCAGAUAAAUUGUUAUGGUGAAGAAGUGAAAUUGAAGAAGCGAUAAUGAGCGAGACUUUGAGGAACCCUGCAAACUCACUUCUGCUUUAAAAAAGAAAACUGCAGUAGAUAUGGUAACAGAAUCAGACUCUCUCAAGCACAAACACCACCACUUGUUUAUGUUAUUACUCCCUUUUGCAAAGCAAAAUCCCAAAAACUAAAGUAAUUUUUGCAGUACAAACAUAAUUUAGCUUGAUUUGCACGUUGUUGUCCUUUUGAAAUCCUGGCAACCAGAGAUAGGUGUCCUGCUUUGGCUGUGGACAUCUGGUCACCCUCAAAUGGAGCCAGUAAUGCUAAUUAAUUCUAGCAGUACACAAUGCCUUGUUCUGUACUGUCAUAAUUCACUGAAGGCAGUGAAAGCUAUACCCCUCUCUGUGAGGUUGCAAGCAAGCACGUGAUUGGAAUAUUAUUCCAUCUGUAUUUCAUGUUCUUCAUUAGCCCUCAUUUACUGCAAAGGAAAGUUCAAUUGCUCAUACUUGGGGAAAACAGCAGGUUAAUUUAACUUGCUGAA